rnacentral:rRNA from 1 species
AGCUCUGUCUUUGGGGAAGAUAAUGACGGUACCCAAGGAGGAUGCCACGGCUAACUACGUGCCAACAACCGCGGUAGUACGUACGUGGCGAGCGUUAUCCGGAUUUACUGGGCGUAAAGGGAGCGUAGGCGGAUGAUUAAGUGGGAUGUGAAAUACCCGGGCUCAACUUGGGUGCUGCAUUCCAAACUGGUUAUCUAGAGUGCAGGAGAGGAGAGUGGAAUUCCUAGUGUAGCGGUGAAAUGCGUAGAGAUUAGGAAGAACACCAGUGGCGAAAGCGACUCUCUGGACUGUAACUGACGCUGAGGCUCGAAAGCGUGGGGAGCAAACAGGAUUAGAUACCCUGGUAGUCCACGCCGUAAACGAUGUCGACUUUGAGGUUGUGCCCUUGAGGCGUGGCUUCCGGAGCUAACGCGCUAAGUUGACCGCCUGGGGAGUUCGGCUGCAAGGUUAAAACUCAAAUGAAUAGACGGGGGGCCGCACACAGCGAUGGAGACACAUGGUUUAAUUUGAUGCACACGCGAAGAGACCUUAUACUGUUCUCGACAUUCACGGAACGUUUUCUGAGAUGAGAAAGAACCUUUGGGAACCAUGAGACACAGUGUGGCAAGGCUGUUUCUAAUCUGUGUUGUGAAAUAUUGGGUUAAGUCUCCGCACCGAGAGCACCCCUUAUCUCUUUUAGGCCAUCGCUCCGACCGGGAACUCAAAGGAGACUGCCAGUGAUAAACAGGAGGAAGGUGGGGAAGACGUCAAGUCAUUCAUGGCCCUUAAGACCAGGGCUACACACGUGCUACAAUGGCGCAUACAAAGAGAAGCGAACCUCGCGAGAGCAAGCCGACCUCAUAAACCGCUUUCUAGUCCGGAUUUGAGUUUACAAUUGGACUCCAGGAAGUGGGAAUCGUUAGUAUUCGUAGAUCAGAAUUCCACGGGGAAUACGUUCCCGGUCUUUGUCCACCCCGCCCGUCCCCCCAUGGGAGUGGCUAUCAAAAGAAGUAGGUAGCUUAACCUUAGGGAGGGCGCUUACCACUUUGUGAUUCAU